UAGAAACAGGAAUUUCUGUGGAGAACACCUUGGGAGACAUGUUGUGUCACAGGUGAUGGUACGCUACUGGGGAGAAAUUGACCUGACACUCUGAAACCCCAGACUCCCAGCAUCCCCGAGGUCUGAUUAGGCAGUUCGUUGUAAGACUCAAAUCAAGCUGCUGCGGAACACCGAGAGAUCCCAUAAAUAGUCCUUGAAAUUGAUUUUAGGGUCAGAGCGACCUGAACCUCUGACCCUGACUUCUAACCCGACAGACGGCGUGCUGCAGGAGGAGAAGCAGUGCCUCCGUGCCUGUUAUUGACACCGGUGAUAUGCCAGCAGCUUGCUUCUCUUACUGAGAACAAUGGGAACCAAAGGUGCGGGGUAGCCGCCGCGACUAGAAAAUUGUUAGUAAAUGGGAAGGGUCCAAGUGUCAGGCCAGGUGGGUCAGCAGGCACAGUUCCUCAGGCAUGCGGCUAGAGAUAGUCUCCUGGCCUCCCUGUCCUGACGGUGUUCUCAGCACUAAAAUACACACUUA